CGUACAGACUACUAAUAAGGCUUCUUCUCCAUCGAAUGUGAAGAUUGUCCGCAACAGGUUUGAGGAUCAAGGUGACAGGUCAAAAUGUGCUUCCAAUAGCGAGUGAACUUCCAUUAGGGAAGACAGCUUGAAAUCUGGUUUGAAAUCGACGUUGGCGUAUUCUGGAGAGUCAUACCUCCCACUUUCAUCAAGCAAGAAGCAUGCAACAGCUCCUGCUCGCUUCCCACAAGCCACCUGCAAUGUAAGAUAACUAAACUACUGAAUUGUAAUAUGUUCUUGAGACAAAAGAAAAUAAUAUGGAACAGUAAUAGACGAAUAACUCUUUACGUGCAAUCCUUUUCUACACCAAUGACUUGGUGCAUUUCAAUAUCCUUGUUCUAAUUCGAUCACAUUGUCUUGGACAAAUAUGUAAAUACUAAUAUGAACCCUUCAAUUCAUUGACAAUGUAGCAAUAUUCUACACUAUACAAGGUGACGGGCACAUUGUCUUGGUCAACUGACCUAAGCCAUAAUGUUCGACAUCCGUGCUACCAUAGCGUAUAUAAAAAUUGCAUAUCAAAUUUUUAUUAGUAAAUUGAGCUUAGACCCAUAAAAUUCAUUUUAAGCCAUAAUGUUCGCCAUCCGUGCUACCAUUGCGUAGAUAAAAAUUGCAUAUCAAAUUUUUAUUUGGUUGGGAAAAAUCAAGAAAAUAAUACAAAGAACACUAGACAAUGAGGCCCUUCUCUUGUGCCCAUUUCUAUGUAGCCCAAACCAAACAAAAAACAAAUUUCCCAUUCCCAUCAGUUCUAGUGUGGAGUCGUUCUCUUCUAUUACGUGGACCGCCAUAUAUGGUCUUUAGGUGUAUACCUGUAUCAUUAGUCGUAGGAUUAAAUUGAACCGUCCGGAUUUGAUCUUAAAGAAAUAAUACUUCAGCCUCUGCGCACAGCCAAACCCACGUUUUACUCAACAAACAUUACCAAUGUCUUUUUCUUCAAGAAGUUAAUUUAAGUUCUGUUGUCCGUUUUGUAUCAAGGUGUUUGUUUGAUGCUUGGGUUAUUAUUAGCAGAGGGAAGCAAAGGGAGGGAGGGUUAAAUGGAUAUGUUAUGUGUGGGUGGAUGUGUGGAUCUCUGAGUGGAAUUUCUUUUGCACAACUGGGGCCAUAUGGUCAUCAUCAAAGACUUUGCCAUAAGGUGUUGAUUGAGGGGAGGAGGAUGAUGAUCAAGUGAGAAACGGGGAAGCUGCUGAAACAUAACAGAGAGAUUGCCCUGUUUACUUUGAAACUUCUGAUCAAGCAGUGUGUAUUCACAUGGAGAAUAAGCUAAUCAAGAAGUGUCAAUGUGUCAUGCUUCUUUUCCAUCUUCUUGGUGGAGAAACUGCCAAAAUUAAAGACCUUUCAGCUUUCUUCUUUUUGGUGUAAACUUCAAGCUUUCUUUGCUUUUUAUUUUUUUAUUUUUUAUUGUAUUUCAUAUCUUUGUCAUGUAUUGAUGGGUCUGGUAGGUAGGCCUAUGGUUGUCAUUUCAAAUGUACAGAUGAUCGAACUCUGUACCUCAGAGAGUAUCCAGCUGACAUUCAUCCAACUUGCAGGCCUAGCCAGUUUCCUACCAGUAGAUCAAACCCCUUGAAAAAUGACUGAUUUCUUUCGAAUUGAAACUUGUUUGCCUUAAAGUGUUUUAAAACCUACAACAUCCACCAGGGGACAAAAACGUCCAAUUAUUUUUAAUCAGUUAGUCUUCUAGUUGUCGUUACAUAAAUGUUUGCAUGCUUGUAUUGAAUUUCUUGAGCAUAAGUGGGAUAUGGAUCAAAGACUUGGCUUUUUUCUGUUUGGUCCAGCAUCCAAGACUUGCGUUACCGAAAAAAAAAAACAUCGAAGACUUGCUUUUGGUUAUGCUGAUCCUAUAAUAAAAAAAAAAAAAUAUAUAUAUAUAUAUAUAUAUAUAUAUCACAUAAGCUUUUCUUUCCUUUUUCAAUCUUGGCUUUGUUAAAGUAAAUUAUACAACUUGCAUUGGAUGCUUGUGGUACAAUGAUAAUUGAGGGAAGGUGGUCAGAAAGAAAACGCCAAAGUUUACUACUUUUUUCUGGUGGAAUUGGACUUCAUACAUAGACAGAAAGAAUUGCUCUGUUUUACUCGUUUUCGUUUCGGCCAAGAGAGAGUAAGUAGUAGAGAGAAUGGCUGAGGCAGUUGUUUCCUUUGUACUCGAAAGUGUCAGAGACUUCACUAUUCAGGAAGCCAACUUCUUUUCUGGAGUCAGCCGUCAAGUUGAAGCUGCACAAACUGAGCUACUAGUGAUGAAGAGAUUCCUGAAAGAUUUGGAUUCAAGACAAGGAGAAGAUGCAACAGUCCAGAUUUGGGUUGCCCAAAUUAGAGAUGCUGCUUAUGAUUUGGAAGAUGUUAUUGAAACUUACGGCUUGAAAGUGGCUUCCAAGAAGAAAAGAGGUGUGAAGAAUAUUCUAAGAAGAUUUGCCUGCAUCUUCAAGGAAGGAGUUGAUCGUUACAAGAUUGGAAACGAAAUUGAGAAUAUCACCACCAGAAUUUCUGAUUUGAGGUCAAGUUUGCAGAAGUAUAACAUAAAGCAAACAAGAGAAAGUAGUGGUGGUGAAUCUUCCUUGCAAUUGCAUGAGAGGCUAAGGAGAAGUUAUUCUCAUGUUGUUGAACGUGAUGUUGUUGGGUUAGAGUCCAACGUUGAAGAAUUGGUUAUGCAUUUAUUGAAAGAUGAAAAUCGUCAUCGAGUUGUAUCUAUUUGGGGUAUGGGCGGUUUAGGGAAGACCACCCUUGCAAGACAACUUUAUCAUCACAAAGAAGUAAGGCAGCAGUUUCAAGAAAGAAAUGUUUGGGAGGGAAUUUUAUUUGAAGUCAUUUCUGCUACCAAGGAACAAAAACAAGAAAUGAAGGACAUGACAGAUGAUGAAAUAGCAAAGAAGCUUUUCCGUGUUUUGCAAAGAAUGAAAUGUUUGGUGAUCCUUGAUGACAUAUGGAGAAUCGAGACAUGGAAUCUUUUGAAGGCUGCAUUUCCAAAUGUGGAAACAGAGAGCACAAUAUUGCUUACUACACGCAAUCAAAAAGUAGCCACGCUCCCAAAUAGAAAUGCUUGUCUCCACGAACUCCAGCCACUGAAUGAUAAUGAGAGUUGGAACCUACUUGAGAAGAAAGCAAUAUCUGAAAGGGCUGAUAUCGGUAUUUUCUCACCCUUACUCUAUUCUUUUCCAGAUUCUUAGUUGUAUAGCGAGCCACAUAAAAACCAUUACAAUUUUUUAAUAUUGUCAAACAUGUAGCAAUUUUUGGCUAUAAAAAAAAAAAAAAACAAGUAGUAAUUGCAAUUUUAUAAGCUGCCUUACUUGGUCACAUCUUAUGCAAUUGUAAAUAAUAAUCAGGACAAUGCUAGACAAUUCAAAAUUUUCUCCAACCUUCUCUUAAAUCCAAACAUAUCCCAAACUUUUUUGUGUUGGUCCAGAUUUAAUUUUUGAAUGUUCUCCAUUUGGCACCCUUUGCUAAUUCAUCAUCUGUCAUGUCCUUAAUUUCUUGUUUUUGUUCCUUGGCAUGCUCAUGCUGCAAGAAUGUAUUUGAUCUUUUUUCUCUUUCUUAUUUUUAGAUUUGGGAAUGUACACAAAAAAGAGAGAAUUAGUAACGAAUAUGCUUCGACAUUGUAAAGGUUUGUCAUUAGCCAUUAUUGUACUUGCCGAAGUUCUAGCAAGAAAAAACACUGUUAGAGAGUGGGAGAUAGUGCAUGAGAAUGUUUAUGAAUACAUAAGGAAAGGGAUAGGUCAUGAAGAAGAAUAUGAAGGUGCAUCAUGGGUUUUGGCAUUGAGUUAUGAUGACCUGCCGUAUCACUUAAAACCAUGUUUUUUAUAUUUAGGUCAUUAUCCUGAAGAUUGUAUUAUUUUGGUAAGCACAUUGACUAAGUUAUGGGUGGCAGAAGGUCUUAUCUUCUUAAGACAACAAAGACAUGGUUCGGAGAAAACAAUGGAGGAUAUAGCACAUGAUUGCUUAAGUGAGUUGGUGGAACGGUGUUUGGUUUAAGUGGGAACAAGUGGUUCAAUAGGAACAAUUAAAGAUUGUCGAAUCCAUGAUCUUGUAUGAGACAUGUGUUUGUUAAAGGCAAAAGAGGAAAGCUUUCUCCAGAUUAACAAUUCUUUGCAAGAAAAUGCUUCUUCUAUGGCAGCUGAGGCAACACAAUUGGGGAAAAUUCGAAGACUUGCAAUUUACUUGGAUGAGAACGCAGAUAGGUUGGUUUCUUCAAGAGAUGAAACAAAUUUGCACGUAAGGUCUCUAUUAUACUUUUUGCCACAAGGAUGGAUGCCAAAAAGUAUAGAUGGAUUACUAUCUCCUUUGAAGGAUUUCAAAGUGCUUAGAGUUUUGAAGGUUGAAGGUCUUAACGAAGUAGAAGUUGAGUUGCCAAGUGAAAUUGGAAAUAUGGUACACUUGAGGUUUCUAAGUGUGAUUAAUUGCAAUAUCAAAACGUUUCCUCCAUCCCUAGGUAAUUUAAUAUGCUUGCAAAGUCUUGAUUUUCGUGUUUUGAAUGAAGACAUGGUGAUCCCAAAUGUGAUAAUGAAGAUGAAACAAUUAAGACAUUUAUAUUUACCCUGGAGGUACAGUGCAAAGGGUAAGCUGGAGCUGUCUACUCUUGGCUAUCUACAGACCUUAGAUUACCUUUCAAGUGAGUAUUGUGAUUUGAAAGAUGUUGGUAGAUUAACCAAUCUUAGAAAACUGACAAUAAAACUGUCAACCUCUUUGCAAAAUAUGGAGGAAAUCUUAAAAUCUACAGGCAGCACGCUUAACCAUAUCCGGUCUCCAAUUGUGUUUAUGAACAACAAUAGCUGUGAAGAACAAGCUAUGCAAAUAGUAUCAAGCUGUCGGGGUAUAUACAAAUUGAUGCUGAAAGGGUCAAUCGCAGAAUUACCGAAAGAGCUCCACAACUAUCCAAACCUCACCAAGUUACAAUUGUGGAGAUGUGGUCUCAAGGAGAACCAAAUGGGAAUACUAGAGAAGCUGCCAAACCUAACGACUCUGAAUCUUAAGAGUCAAGCUUUCAAGGAGAAUACAAAGAUACUGGUUUUCUCCAAAGAAGGCUUUCCUUCUCUUCAAUAUCUUUUCGUUAAUGGUAUGUUCGGAAUAACAGAGUGGAGAGUAGAGGAAGGAGCCAUGCCUCGUCUCUGUCGAUUGAACAUCACGUAUUGCUCGGGAUUGACUACACUCCCAGAUGGGCUGAGAUAUCUUACUAAUCUCAGGAAAUUAACCAUCAGAGGGAUGCGUAGAGAACUCCACAGUCGGAUUGAGGAAGAUGGAGAGGAUUUCUAUAAAAUUCAACAUGUACCUUCCCUUGUAAUUGGAGAACCAUCCCCCUACUUCUGACCACUACCGAUGCAAUGAUGGCAAGGUAAUUUCUUUCUUUUAAUUUUAAAGCGAAAUACCGAGAGAAUAUUAAAGUAGGAGAAUAUGGGCUCCCUUGUUUAGCUAUGUUUUCUUUCUCCAUUUUUAUUGCUUUUGCUUGUGCUUGUGAGUUGUGAGUUGUGAGUCCCGACUCAUGAGCCUUAUCAUUUCCCAAUUUCCAAAUAUUUUAUUACCUAUAUGUUUUCUUUGUCCACUUUGAUUGCUUUUUUGCUUGUGCUUGUGAGUUGUGAGUGAGAAGCUUAAUAUAAAAGCCAACGGUUAAAUUUCCUUAUUUGGAGACCAUUGAUAAUUCUAUCGCAUUCCAAAUUCAAGUUUUCGAUGGUUCCGUGGCAAUCUUAUAAUAAUAUUUCAAGGCAAGUUAAAAUACAUAUCACCAUUAGAUUUAGAUGUUCUUUUUGAAGUCAAUCAAGUAAAAGAGUUGAAUAUUUAUGCGCAUUUCAAAAUCUUUGAAAUGGAGAAUCUUUCCAUUGAUACGCGAACAACAAUUAUAAAACUCCAGUCCAUAAGCAAUAUGAUUUUUUCUAGUUGAUCAUGUUAACAAGUUAUCCCUUGUCGUUUUUGUAAAAACAUUGAACACAAAGUUAUCCGUUGUUGUUUCUGUCACGUACAAGAGUAUUAGAUUGAAAUGAGUGUGUUUCCUUUGAAAAUUUAGUACGAUUUUACUACAAUGUUCAUAUUGGAAUGCAAUUUUCACAAGUUAACUACUGAAUUUUUGUUACGGUAGCUGCAUGUAGGACCUAACAUUGAGAAAGUAUGUCGAAGCUCUGCAGCAGAGGGAGCAUGCGAAGCUAAACUUACAGGAAGAAGAAAGAAAUGCUCUGUGAAAAUCAAGAGGAGCAAAGAUGUUGUCCAAAAGUACAUUUAUAUUACACAACUCAACUUAUUGUAUUAAUUAAAAUUUCCUUGAUGAAACUUUGUAUUUGUAUUCCUCUUUCGUGUCUGUUUUUAAUUAUGAAUAUUUGAGCCUGUGGGCAUCAUGCCUUCGUUUAUUUCACGGUUAGCAUUCCCAACUUGGUCCCAUGUGCCAUAUGAUAUGAUUUUACAAAAUCCUUGCCAGAUGCUGGUGGGAGAAUUAAAAAAAAAUGAUUGGUAGAUUCGUUCGACAUUUAAUUACUGCACAAUAGAUUUUAGAGAUCUUUUUCUUUUUCUAUUCAAAAACAAUUGUCGUAUGUGAAAUUUGAAGUUUGAGGACAUCAACAAAGUAGAAAUUGCGUGUCACUAAGUCAAAUUGUUAUUAGCAAGGAUGUUAGAGAUUAAAAAAGUUGUACAAAAUGAUGUGACAAUUUUUAUGGAUGGUGAUAUGUGUUUGUGUAAAUAAUUUCACGGGAGAAUAUUCGCUUCUAGAUCCCUCAACCUUCGACCUUCCUUCUCUCUCUUCCUCGUUUCCUGUAAAAAAAAGAUUGGAGUAAAUAGACCACACCCGGGGGGUGUUGGCCAAAGGCCCUCCGAUGCCUAAGUUAGUUCGAGUGUUUGUAAGAAAAUAAUAGCUAAGCAAAGGGUACGGAGUUGUAUGUAUGGUGUGAACAGGGCGGCCGGAGCCGUGUGGAGAAAAUAUGGAGAGUGGAGAGGGAGAGAGAGAGUUUCAGGUAUUUUUCUCGGGUAUUAAGAGUAGGUUUAGAUGUACCUUGAAUGAUGAAUGAGGUCGUCUAUUUAUAGGAGCCUCGGGGCUAGGGUUUCGUAGAGAAUAUGCUGAGUUUAUUCUCUACCCAAAUUCGUAGGGAUCGAGUCGGACUUAGAUAAUAUCUGAAUUAAAUGAUAUUAUCUCUUUUUAUGAAGAUAAUAUCUGAAUUAAUGAUAUUAUCUUAUUAAAUAAAGAUAAUAUCAUAUUAAUUAAAAUAUUUAUCCCAAUUAAUUAAUUAGCCAAAUAAGCUGGUUCAAUUAAUCAAUUAAAGAGAUAAUCUUCUUUUCCACAUGGCGUGCUGUGAUUGGAGACGAAAAUAUUUGCUCCCACAAUAUGUAUCAUGUCAUUUUCUCCUAUUCUCUAACAAAAGAAGAGACUCUCUUAAGUAUCCUGAGGAAUUUUUUGAAAAGCAAGGAGUAGCCAAGCAAAGCAGCAAUACCCAAGAGAAGAAGAAAUCAUUCCACCAUUGAAGGCUUUUGUGCUUUCACCUUCACAAAAUCUGUAAACUCCUUCUAGUUAUAUUUUAAAUUUGUGUUUGUAAUAAGCUUGAAGAACUAAACCCCAUAGUUAGUGCUUAGGUUGAAGCCCUAAACAUGAACACUCUAUUGUUUUGAUGCUUGAGUUUAUGGAUUUUCAGAUGUUGUUGAUGAAUUCAUCUUCACUAAAUUAAUUUCUCCUUGAUGUAUGUUUUCAUUGAUUGAUAACCCUUGAAAGCAUGCUUAUUGAGAUUGCUGGGAUUAUAUGUAUCUUCAUGUUUUCCUAAGCAACUAAUGGAUGGAGUAAGAAUCAUUCAUGUGAACUGGUUUCUUGAAUGCCUAAUGUGAACAUCAUACUAUUAAGGUUCUUGUGAUGUUCAUAUUCUCUUCAAACUUAUAUGAUUAAAUCGAAGUACUAAACACACAUGGAUUGAUUGUGUAGUAAACACAAGUAUUAUAGCACUAAACACUCAUUUUACCUAUGUUAGAGAGAAUUAAUGCGUCUUGAGCCACUAAACCCGAUCUUGAUUGUGAAUAUCUUCAUUAGUGUAUCUAGAAUUCAUAACUUGAGUAUCCAUAAACAAGAGUAGGAUUGUUUAGGGUUGAUUCUGAAAACCCUAGUGUUUGUCACCAUAUUAAGUUAAACUUUGAUAAUCACAUUUGUUGAUCUUGUUAAAAUUAGAGUUCGGUUACAUUUAAGCAUUAUAAUUAGGUGACUUAAAUCAAAAACACCCCAUCCCCCUUUUUGUUUGAGUUUGUUGUUUUAAACUUUGAAUGUCUUGUUUAUUGCAUUCUGUAUACUUCUGUAAUUGCUUUUGACAUUUGGUCCAAGCAUGGUUCUUCAUUUUUCCGUGCUGAAUCCAACCAUGUAAAGAACGUAAAAUUUGGAUUAACGGUUUGAAAGUUACAUAUCAAAAACAGGACAGAGGUCGAAACUAGAAAACACAUAAAGUUCAUAAAUUCUUCUUUGAACUAAAAGUGCUACAGUACCCGGAUGAUAAAGAAGCGAUACAAUGACGAUGAAGAAGUGAUAAAGUGGUGAUAUAUGAGUGAUACAAAAUGCUAAUUGUGUUUACCUUUGGUUUCUUGUUUUGUUUCAUUUUUUUUAAUUUUCUUUAUCAUUUCUAGUAUCUGAUUUGUAUUUUACCUUUGUGUUGUGGUAAAUAAGUGUUCUUUACGUACUCAAACUAGACCUUUGUAUAAGCCUCCAAUUUCUCGUGGGAACGAUCCCAUAUUUACAAAUCUAUACUCCAAUAAAUUGGUAUUUUUAAUUAGAUAAGAAGCACAUUAAUUUGUGCCAAUUAUUAAUACAACAUCUCAUCACCAAUUUAGAGUUAGCAUAUAUCUGAAAAUUUUGUGUCACACAAAGAAUAUUAUCAAUCAGGCUUUUUGGUGAUUUUUCCACUCCCCUUUUGUCCACUUACACUCUCUUUUGUUUUUUAAUAGUUUUUACUAUAACAAAAAAGGGAGUGUAAAUGAACAAAAGAGGAGUGAGAACAUACAAUUUCUAACAAAGGGAGUGUAAAUGGAUAAAAGAGGAGUGAGAAAAUCAGCUCUCUUUAUUUUUCUUUCUUUAAUUUCGGGGCUUAAGCUACCAGUACCUUGUGCACUUGGACAACGAAGGAAAGGAGGCUGUUAGAUGGGACUUGGGAACAGAGAGAAGAGACUUACAUGCACAACGCAGAUCCCAUGUACUUGUUCUUUACCAAUUUUUACAUCAAGAACCUCAUAGCUCUGGAACUCCUACAAUUCUUCUGUUUCCGUUUUCGUUAUGUGAUAUAAGCUCAGCACCAAUCGUAUAUACAUAUGUGAUUUGUGAAACAAAAGUUAUAUUACAACAUACUGACUGGUUUUUGCAAAGUUCAGCACCAUUUAACAUGAUGCAACAACUUCAGCUUUGUCACAGACUACGAUUGAAACUGAUAUCAGAUAUGAAGCCUCUUUCUAAGUCAUCAAGCGGUUUGGAGAAAACAAGUAGCAUCAAGGCAAUCCUAUAUUCCUCUCGUACCUUCACUUCUCCUGCUCUCGUUAAACCAUUCCACAAAUAUAUUGAGUGGGAAAUUUGAUUAAUGUCUCCAAGAGCAUUUGGUCAGGUUCUUGGUAACUGGUGAUGAGCUUUUACCAGGCCAAGUACAAUACAACUUUGAAAACUAAUAUAAGUCUCAUACAAAUUGAUUGGUCUUCCGCCUAACUGGUUUCUAGUAGAAAUUUUCUACUAAUUCCUUCCUCUUCUUCUUUCACUUUCAGGUUGCAGUUUUUUUGCUUCUAAUCGUUUCGAGAAGCAAAGAGCAAGCUACACAACAAGUGCUGCAACCUAGUUCUUUUCUAGAUAAUGCGUACAGACUACUAAUAAGGCUUCUUCUCCAUCAAAUGUGAAGAUUGUCCGCAACAGGUUUGAGGAUCAAGGUGACAGGUCAAAAUGUGCUUCCAAUAGCGAGUGAAUUUCCAAUAGGGAAGACACCUUGAAAUCUGGUUUGAAAUCGACGUUGGCAUAUUCUGGAGAGUCAUACCUCCCACUUUCAUCAAGCAAGCAUGCAAC
rnacentral:lncRNA from 1 species